rnacentral:misc_RNA from 1 species
GAUGAAGAACGUAGCGAAAUGCGAUAAGUAAUGUGAAUUGCAGAAUUCCGUGAAUCAUCGAAUCUUUGAACGCAUAUUGCGCCCUCUGGCAUUCCGGGGGGCAUGCCUGUCCGAGCGUCAUUAUUUAUCUUCAAGCACGGCUUGUGUGUUGAGCAUUCUGGUUCUUUCCAGAGGCUUGAAAUGCAGUGGCGAUGCCGAGAUUUGGGUGCCCGAGCGUAUGGGGCUUUGUCACCCGCUCUGUAGGCCCGGCCGGCGCUUGCCGAUCAACCCAAAUUUUUAUCCAGGUUGACCUCGGAUCAGGUAGGGAUACCCGCUGAACUUAAGCAUAUCAAUAAGCGGAGGA